CCUACGGGAGGCAGCAGUGGGGAAUAUUGGACAAUGGGGGGAACCCUGAUCCAGCCAUGCCGCGUGUGUGAAGAAGGCCCUCGGGUUAUAAAGCACUUUCAGUGAGGAAGAACGCCUGGUGGUUAAUACCCAUCAGGAAAGACAUCACUCACAGAAGAAGCACCGGCUAACUCCGUGCCAGCAGCCGCGGUAAUACGGAGGGUGCGAGCGUUAAUCGGAAUUACUGGGCGUAAAGCGCGCGUAGGUGGCUUGAUAAGCCGGUUGUGAAAGCCCCGGGCUCAACCUGGGAACGGCAUCCGGAACUGUCAAGCUAGAGUGCAGGAGAGGAAGGUAGAAUUCCCGGUGUAGCGGUGAAAUGCGUAGAGAUCGGGAGGAAUACCAGUGGCGAAGGCGGCCUUCUGGACUGACACUGACACUGAGGUGCGAAAGCGUGGGUAGCAAACAGGAUUAGAUACCCCAGUAGUC
rnacentral:rRNA from 1 species